CUGCUUACUUUGUUGGCACAUAAUACGAAAAUUGGAAUGGUACAGAGAAGAUUAGCACAAGGACGUGACAUGCAAAUUUGUGAAGCAUUCCAUAUUUAA
rnacentral:snRNA from 1 species